rnacentral:rRNA from 1 species
GGAUGAUGUGGUUUAAUUCGAUGCAACGCGAAAUACCUUACCUACCCUUGACAUGCCAGGAACUUACCAGAGAUGGUUUGGUGCUCGAAAGAGAACCUGGACACAGGUGCUGCAUGGCCGUCGUCAGCUCGUGUCGUGAGAUGUUGGGUUAAGUCCCGCAACGAGCGCGAACCCUUAUCAUUAGUUGCUACGCAGGGGCACUCUAAUGAGACUGCCGGUGACAAACCGGAGGAAGGUGGGGAUGACGUCAGGUCAUCAUGGCCCUUAUGGGUAGGGCUACACACGUCAUACAAUGGCUGGUACAAAGGGUUGCCAACCCGCGAGGGGGAGCUAAUCCCAUAAUAACCAGUCGUAGUCCGGAUCGCAGUCUGCAACUCGACUGCGUGCAAGCUCGGUA